ACGAAGGGGGCUAGCGUUGUUCGGAUUUACUGGGCGUAAAGCGCGUGUAGGCGGGUCGUUAAGUUGGGGGUGAAAUCCCGAGGCUCAACCUCGGAACUGCCUUCAAAACUGGCGACCUGGAGCAAGAUAGAGGCAAGUGGAAUUGCGAGUGUAGAGGUGAAAUUCGUAGAUAUUCGCAGGAACACCAGUGGCGAAGGCGACUUGCUGGAUCUUUGCUGACGCUGAGACGCGAAAGCGUGGGGAGCAAACAGGA
rnacentral:rRNA from 1 species